UAGAGGGACUGAGAAAUUAAUAGAGUACAAAACUUAUCUUCAAGCUUUACCUUAUUUUGAUCGUUUAGACUAUGUUUCUAUGAUGGCCCAAGAACACGCUUAUUCUUUAGCCGUAGAGAGACUUUUGAAUUGCGAGGUACCAUUACGAGCUCAAUAUAUACGAGUGUUAUUUUGUGAAAUAACUCGAAUUUUAAAUCAUUUACUUGCUUUAACUACUCAUGCUAUGGAUGUGGGAGCAUUAACUCCGUUCCUGUGGGCUUUUGAGGAGCGGGAGAAAUUGUUGGAAUUCUAUGAAAGAGUCUCGGGAGCCAGGAUGCAUGCCAGUUUCAUACGACCAGGUGGAGUGGCACAAGAUCUGCCUCUUGGCUUAUGUCGAGAUAUUGAUUCCUUCACACAACAAUUUGCUUCUCGUAUCGACGAAUUAGAAGAGAUGUUAACCGGCAACCGUAUCUGGAAACAACGAUUAGUGGAUAUUGGUACUGUCACUGCACAGCAAGCAAAGGAUUGGGGAUUCAGUGGUGUAAUGUUAAGAGGUUCAGGGGUAUGCUGGGAUUUGCGAAAAGCAGCACCUUACGAUGUUUAUGACCAAUUGGAUUUUGACGUACCAGUAGGUACCAGAGGAGAUUGCUAUGAUCGUUACUGUAUCCGUAUCGAAGAGAUGCGACAAAGUGUUCGGAUCAUUGUGCAAUGUCUUAAUAAAAUGCCUAGUGGCAUGAUCAAAGCCGAUGAUCGUAAGCUAUGUCCUCCAUCACGAUGUCGAAUGAAACUAUCCAUGGAAUCCUUAAUUCACCAUUUCGAACUUUAUACAGAAGGUUUUUCUGUACCAGCUUCUUCUACCUAUACCGCAGUUGAAGCACCUAAAGGAGAAUUUGGUGUCUUUCUGGUCAGUAAUGGAAGCAAUCGUCCUUACCGUUGUAAAAUAAGAGCACCUGGCUUUGCCCAUUUACAAGGACUCGAUUUUAUGUCCAAACAUCACAUGCUAGCAGAUGUGGUCACCAUCAUAGGUACUCAAGAUAUUGUGUUUGGAGAGGUGGAUAGAUAGGAAAGUUUACUUUCUCGAUCAGGACCCUAGCUUUAUUGCAAGCCAAAAACUUAGUAUACGCACAAUCCAACCCUUCAUUCUACAUUCCAAGCAAUGCCCAAAGACUCCCGC
rnacentral:misc_RNA from 1 species